UACGAAGGGGGCUAGCGUUGUUCGGAAUCACUGGGCGUAAAGGGCGCGUAGGCGGCCUGAUAAGUCGGGGGUGAAAGCCUGUGGCUCAACCACAGAAUUGCUUUCGAUACUGUUAGGCUUGAGACCGGAAGAGGUAAGUGGAACUGCGAGUGUAGAGGUGAAAUUCGUAGAUAUUCGCAAGAACACCAGUGGCGAAGGCGGCUUACUGGUCCGGUUCUGACGCUGAGGCGCGAAAGCGUGGGGAGCAAACAGG
rnacentral:rRNA from 1 species